GUCUCCAUAGCUUAGUUGGUAGAACAACCGACUAUUGUGCGGUAAAACUCGGGUUCGUGCCCUGCUGGCGGCA